CCACCAUCAACCUGUCCAUCCACCCACCAUCUACCUGUCCAUCCACCCACCAUCUACCUGUCCAUUACCCACCAUCUACCUGUCCAUCCACCCAUCCAUCCACCACCUACCCAGCCCAUAAAUACAUACAGGCAUAUAUUGUACUGCUUACUUUUCUCAUUGCUAUAACAAAAGCAACUUAAACAAGGAACGAAGGGUUUCUUUUGUCUCACAGUUUGAGGGGAUACAGUCAGUCAUGAUGGGAAGUCAUGGCCACAGGAGUAUGAGGCAGCUGCUCACAUCGUGUGUCUAAAAUCAGGAAGCAGAAAAAGAUGAAUUCUAGUGUUUGCUCACUUUCUCCCAUUUAGUCAGUCAAGGAUCCCACUUCGCCAUUGGGGGGUGGGGUUUCCCAGUUUAGUUAACCCAACCUAGAACUAGACCCUCCUCUCUCACAGACAGCCCAGAGAUUUGCCUCCUGGGUGAUUACAGAUCUUAUGUUGGCAACUGGUAUAAACCAUCACAUAACCUGCCCAUCCAGCGUACUGAUACAUCUAGCUAACUAACCAUCCACUCAUCCAGCCGUCUCUGCUCUCAUCCGCCCUCUGGGAAAUAAGCAUGCAUUUGUCCACUCAUUCACUACCCUUGUUCCGAUGAUCUACUCAGAUGGACUGUGUACUAAGUGCUAAGAAACUCAGAGGCAACAGGCCUGAAUUCUGAUCUCAAGGCAUGUUUAAGAGGUCAAUGACAUACACACAAAUAUUCCCAGUAAAGUAACUAGGGUGGUGUCUUUAGGGGGAAGCAAGGACUCUGAAGUCAGAGGAAGGAGGAGGCUCUUCUGAGAAUGUGGUUAUACUACGGGCUCACUCAUAACCUAAGCACUGGACUCAUGGAGGAUAGCUGUUUCUGUAUUCUUCAUUAGCCCAAGGCCCUUGAAAAAUAGGGAAUCACAACACCCAGGCUAGAAGACCCUUGUUCUGGACCCAAGUAUAACCAUCUUCCUUUGGUCCCUUCAAACUGCACUCUAUUCCUUGGGGGAUAGCCUGGGAGACUAAAGGCCAUGCCCAUCUUGAGCCCUCCUGUUCUUCCAGGUCAUGCUACAAAGACAUAGCAACCAGCAUUUUUAGCCCUAAAGGACCCAAGAACUCAUUUCUAGGGUCUCUUCAGUUCCUUUCAUGUGUGGGGGCUCCUGAGAUCUCUGAAGCUUCUGCCUGCUCCACUUAAUCCCUGGGUGCCAAUCCCGGUGACAUAUCAUGUCACUGGUAUAGGUACCUCAGAGCCCACACUGAGGGCCAUGCUGCUGGUAAUCGGGAUGGCCCUUGGGAAUGCGGACUGGGAUUUCCAUAGGUGUGCAGAUAAGGCCCCCUGUGUUGGCCAGGAGAAGCAGCUACAGGUCAAAGACAGGAGCCUGCUGUCCCUACACUAUCAAUUUGAGCACAGAGUUCAAGAAUGCUACAUUCAAACAUGGGAUUCCAGACCAUUGUGAGGGCACAUUGUGAAGCUCCUGAUUUCAGCUGCAAGUUUCAAGUUCUUUCAGGAUGCAAAGCUGCAAACAAGCUUCCCAAGGCCAUGGGCAGUGUACCCCUUACCCCAACUAAAAUGCAAGAUCCUCAGAGGCAGGGAUGUUUGUGGAUUCUGUUCUCUGGUAUAUCCCCAAGGCUCAGGACAGUGCAGACAAACAAAGAUAGAUGCUUGUAAUCCACUGAUUGGAACCAGCAGAGCCAAGGAACCAGGAAGAGACAUCAGUUUUGGAAGAAGUCUUUGGAGUUUAGUGUCCUGGAACCAAGAUGCUGUGCAUAUGGAUGGACUCACUCUCCUGAUGUUAGAUGCCUUCCUCUACACAGGAGGACCCGAGCUCACAUCUCCACCACUCUAAGGACAACAGAGGAUGUGUAUUUCAAAUUACCUGCUACAGUGGUGCCUUUCCAAUAGAAUCCACCAAUGCUGUUGCCUCAGUCUCCCUUGAAGACAAGUUUCCCACGGAACAGGCUGCAAAGGUGCUUGACUCUUGGCAACCCUCUUGAAGUGGUACACAGGAAAGUGCUGGAGCCCUGUCUCCACAUGCAAAGCUGCUUCCCAGGGGGCUCAUUAGAAGCAACAUCCCAUAUACUGCCCCAGGACCCCAGCAGUCCCUUCCGGAUAUUCCUCUCUCCUGGUGUUGCUGACCCAUGGCCAGGUCCCCAGGGCCGGGUGUUGACUCCGAUGCUCCACUGGGUCACUUUGUCGGUGUUGAACCUGGCACCAUGUACCCUGGCUGCCCAGAGGUUGGAAGAAGUGUCUGAAAGCUGCUUCCACACUUGGCUUUCUCCUUGGAAAAUUCUAGGCUGCUCCCUACCACCAAGUAGGCUGGCCGCCUGCUUGGCCUCCCAGCAUCUUCCUGCCUGAGGGGGCCGCUCCCUCCUGGAGCCAGCCCUCGGCCGAAGUGGACACCCACGCUUCUUUUCAAAUCUCAUAAACUUGCUCUUGACAUGAGAACACCUUUGCAGAGCAAAUGCGAGUACUCUCUAAGGGGCUGCUCUGUAAACUGGCUACCCCCAAAUGGGAGAUGAGCUGAGGUCAGGACAGCCAGACAGGGCUCCUAGAGCUCUGGACAGGAUUCUGUUGUAAAAACGGAGAACUCUUUGCAUGGUGUGCCGAGGCCUUCCAUAAACUGCUCUCCUUGGCCUUGUAUCCCCGCGUCCCAUCAUGCAGAACCCCCGCCACAUUUGGGUAUCCCACAGCAUGGAGACUUCGUUCCCAUGAGAACACAUUUCAGUCCUAUAAAACCCAGUCCCAGCCUCCCUGCAAAGUUCCUUGUCCCCCUGGGGCUGUUCCUUGCCCUGAAACAUGGCAGCAGAUGUCUGAACCUCUGGGCUGCCAUGCUGCACAUGCUAAUUCUCAGCCAUUAUUUCCAACCAACAUGUCCUGGGGUAGGAAUUACCAUCAGAACUGCCCUUCAGUAAGUCCCCACAAUAUGCUGACUACGUCGGCUAACUUCAUGUGUCAACUUGGCUGAGGAAGGUGGCCUGAGACGGGGCCAAGCAUUACGCAGGAUGUUUCUGUGAGGGUGGUUUUCAGAUGAGACUAGCAUUUUAACUCGGUGUUCUUGGAGAAAAGCAGGGUGCCCUCCAUAGUGUGGGUGGGCCCUGUGCAAUCGGUUCAGGGCCUGCAUGGAGCAAGAGAAUGACCUCCACACAGAGGGUGUCUUUCCAGUAGUCAUCCCCUAGUCUUGAACUUCAAAACCAGACUCCUCUCUGUGUCUCCAGCUGCCAGACCACCCUGCACACUAGACUUGCCAACCUCUUUAACUGUGUGGCCAUCUUUCCAGAAAGCCCAGGCUAAUUCAGCGAGGGAGCCAGGGCAGUCAAGAGAAAUGUUAUGAUGUGGAAGGGGAAGGAGGAACAGUGUCCUCAGAGUACAGAUGACCCUCUCACCCAGUGUCACAGAUAGAGGAGUACCUUGCCAUCUUACCUAGGUAAGAAGAACUGCUCAAAGUCAGGGGUUUCUUUGAUGCCUCAGGGUCACAGCAUGGAUGUACUCCAUGGGUCAUGGCAUGGCCAUAUUUAAUGAUAAUUUAUCACUUUUGUGUGUGCUAUACAAGUGUGUGUGUGUGCAUGUGUAUCAGGUCAGAGGUCAGCCUUGGCUAUAGUUCCUCAGGUCCCAUCCACCAUGUUCUUUGAGGUAGGGUCUCUCACUGGCCUGGAGCUCAACAAGUAGCCUAGGCUGCCUGGCCAGUGAGGCCCAAGGAUUGCCUUGCCUCUGCCUCCCCAACGCUGGAAUUACAAGCAUAUGGUACCAUCACUCCAAGCUUUUUAAAUGUGAGUUCUUGGGGACUGAACUCAGGGAGUCAUGCCCGCAAGGCAAGCACUUGGGUGACCAAUCUCUCUUCCCAGUCCAAAAACUGAUCACUUUUGCAGCCAAGUCAUCUUGUCCGUGUGCUCUUCUACCCACAGGAAACAACUAGCCUGCUUUGUGGUUGACAUUUGACUCCACUAAGCAUGUGUGAAACACCGAGCUGGCUGUCUUGGCUGCAGCAAGGGGGGUCAGCGGUGGCUUUGCAAGCUCUCACAGGCCUUCUCCGUCAGCAGCCUCAGUGGGAGGCCGAGCCUCACUCAUGUACAACAUGGCACCCCUCCCUCCUUCCUGUCCACAGCCUGGCAUGACCCUUCCCCAAAUCGCUUUGGUUCUCUCUAACCUGAAUCCGGCUUCCGUGGCAUCGCCAGAUGACUCCAGCCUUGGUUUCUCAGGACUUAGACUCAACCAAAGAGCUGACUCUGGUUCCCACAAAGAUUCGAAUUUCUGCUUGUGUGGUAAUCCUGCUAGCCCAUUCAACCUUCCUUAAGUCAGUCAGAUUCUGAGGCUUACACCAUGCAGUCUCAUCAACUUUCCUUGUGAGCAGAGACUUGAGCUCAGUGAGAAUAGGGCGGAGAGGAGGGAGAGGCCCUUCAUGUCCAUCGAGUAGCACCCUUGUGUCCAUUGAGUACACCUCCAGGCCUGGUAAUGAAUAGGCUGUAUAUUUCAUAGAUCCCAACAUGUAAAUUUCUCCAACGUAUGCAUAUUUUGAACAAACUGCCAGUCACACAGCUGGUGUGGACAUGAUUGCUUCCAUGUGAUAGCAACAUUUCUAGGGUGAGUGACUUGACCCAAAAUGCCAGAGGUGAUAGAAGGAUACUCUUCUGAGAAACUCUCUCUCUCUCUCUCUGUCUCUCUCUCUCUGUCUCUCUCUCUCUGUCUCUCUCUCUGUCUCUCUC